AGGAGAGGGCAUCAGAUCACAUUACACAUGGUAUGAGCCAUCUCUCCAACCCAUCCCACCUUUUUUCAUUAAAGGUUUUAGAAGUUAAAUUUCAGUCCCCAGGAAUUUUGGCUUUAUAUGACUCUGCAACAGUCCAAAGCCUAACAGUAUAUACACUGGCUACCACACCCUGUGUCUAUUAUCUCUCAGAUUGACAUUCCCUGGAUGGUACCCUAGAUUCGGGUCUCCCUCAAUUGAGAGUGAUGAUUUCACAGACUAGAGUCUCUGACGCUGUCCUUGAUGUCAGCUAUAAAUCUGACUCAUUUGGGGAACCUGAAUUUUUACUCUUGAGCCUGGUGUUCAGCACUGGCUCUGGUGAGGAACAUGCCCUGCUCCUGUUUCUCAUUGUGCCCAUCUUAACUCUCCAGGGUGAGCUCUGAGGACUUCACGGGGGCCCCAUCUCCUUACCUAGAUGAGGGCUAACCUUGGAAUCCAGACAAAGGUGGAAGUGACCUAGAUGUGACCUGGAUGACCUGAUCAUCUAAGGAGAGCCUGCCCUUUGUCCUGCCCUUGUGAAGGGCUUUGCUGCUGUGCACUGACAAGUUGGGACGGCUUUUUAUUGCUUUGUUGCCAGUUAUCUGAACAUGAGAGGCUAUAAGGUGUAAUCUAUGCGAGCUGACUGCCCUACGCCCAGACUGAACCAGGGCCUCACUUGACUGAGUAUUAGACAAUGUAAUAAAAACUUACCUUGCCCAGACUAUAUAAUGGCUUGGAAAUGCACAGUUUCCCGAAAGAUCUCAAUAAAAUACUUUUAAAAGGACUU
ensembl:processed_transcript uncharacterized LOC110284069